rnacentral:rRNA from 1 species
GAUGAACGCUGGCGGCGUGCCUAAUACAUGCAAGUCGAGCGAACGGACGAGAAGCUUGCUUCUCUGAUGUUAGCGGCUGACGGGUGAGUAACACGUGGAUAACCUACCUAUAAGACUGGGAUAACUUCGGGAAACCGUAUCUAAUACCGGAUAAUAUUUUGAACCGCAUGGUUCAAAAGUUAAAGACGGUCUUGCUGUCACUUAUAGAUGGAUCCGCGCUGCAUUAGCUAGUUGGUAAGGUAACGGCUUACCAAGGCAACGAUGCAUAGCCGACCUGAGAGGGUGAUCGGCCACACUGGAACUGAGACACGGUCCAGACUCCUACGGGAGGCAGCAGUAGGGAAUCUUCCGCAAUGGGCGAAAGCCUGACGGAGCAACGCCGCGUGAGUGAUGAAGGUCUUCGGAUCGUAAAACUCUGUUAUUAGGGAAGAACAUAUGUGUAAGUAACUGUGCACAUCUUGACGGUACCUAAUCAGAAAGCCACGGCUAACUACGUG